UGGAGAAAAUGAAGAUAAAAGAAGAGUUAGAAACGAAAUAUUUGGACUUUACAAUUGAACGAAAGGAAGAAAAAUUUGAAGUUGAUUUAAAGAAUUUCAAGAAAGAAUUUUAUACGGAUGUGAAGUGUUAUAAAACAAUUAAAUCGGAACCUUUAGAGAUAAAUAUUAAAAGAGAACCAAUUUCCACAAACAACACAAACGGAUCCACUAUUUGAAGUGAUUCUGGUUAUAAAGUCGAAAGAGAUAUCAAGAAAGAAGUAAAAGAGAAUUGUGAUGUAAAACAUGGGAUAAAAUCAGAAUGUAAAGUUGAUUUGAAAAAGUUGAAGAUUGAAGUAAAGACUGAGUAUUGUAAAGAAGUUGUUCAUCUUCCAGAUGAUAAU